rnacentral:lncRNA from 1 species
AAUUUCUCUCCUGUUUUAGAGUGUGUAGAGGCAGCUGUUAGGCCUGAAGUCAUGGUCAAUGGGAAUCUAGUCAAAACAGUCAAUAUUAUCCAUAAAGAACAGAGAGAAACUUGAAAAGAUUGGGCUGAAGCUGCAAACAUGCUUUAGAUAAAGGAGAGAGAAGAAAGGUGGAGUGGCUCUUGAAGGCAGAUGAAGAUUAGAGAAUAAAUUAGCAGAAGCAUUAAAAGUAAGGAGUUGA